ensembl:snoRNA Gm22939 small nucleolar RNA SNORA17
GCAGAAAUAAGAGACAUAACAGGAGAAACUGCUGUGUCACCUGUGAAUUAGUAGGUUGCAGAGAAGAGAGAAGCCGUGUCUAUGAUCAAUAUUCUGACCUGUGAAUAUCUGAAUGAUAGUAGUCUAACAUU